GAUGAAGAACGUAGCGAAAUGCGAAAAGUAAUGUGAAUUGCAGAAUUCAGUGAAUCAUCGAAUCUUUGAACGCACAUUGCGCCCGCUGGUACUCCGGCGGACACGCCUGUCCGAGCGUCAUUUCAACCCUCAAGCCCUCCUUCGGGAUGGGCCUGGUGUUGGGGCUCGGCCGCCAUCUCCGGCGGCCGUCCCCUAAAUACAGUGGCGGUCACGUCGCGACUCCUUUGCGUAGUAGAAACACCUCGCUCCGGAUAGCAACGCGGUCCACGCCGUAAAACCCCCAAUUUUCAAUGGUUGACCUCGGAUCAGGUGGGAAUACCCGCUGAACUUAAGCAUAUCAAUAAGCGGAGGA
rnacentral:misc_RNA from 1 species